rnacentral:rRNA from 1 species
AUGAACGCUAGCUACAGGCUUAACACAUGCAAGUCGAGGGGAAACGACAUCGAAAGCUUGCUUUUGAUGGGCGUCGACCGGCGCACGGGUGAGUAACGCGUAUCCAACCUGCCCACCACUUGGGGAUAACCUUGCGAAAGUAAGACUAAUACCCAAUGAUAUCUCUAGAAGACAUCUGAAAGAGAUUAAAGAUUUAUCGGUGAUGGAUGGGGAUGCGUCUGAUUAGCUUGUUGGCGGGGUAACGGCCCACCAAGGCAACGAUCAGUAGGGGUUCUGAGAGGAAGGUCCCCCACAUUGGAACUGAGACACGGUCCAAACUCCUACGGGAGGCAGCAGUGAGGAAUAUUGGUCAAUGGACGAGAGUCUGAACCAGCCAAGUAGCGUGCAGGAAGACGGCCCUAUGGGUUGUAAACUGCUUUUAUAAGGGAAUAAAGUGAGUCUCGUGAGACUUUUUGCAUGUACCUUAUGAAUAAGGACCGGCUAAUUCCGUGCCAGCAGCCGCGGUAAUACGGAAGGUCCGGGCGUUAUCCGGAUUUAUUGGGUUUAAAGGGAGCGUAGGCCGGAGAUUAAGCGUGUUGUGAAAUGUAGGCGCUCAACGUCUGCACUGCAGCGCGAACUGGUUUCCUUGAGUACGCACAAAGUGGGCGGAAUUCGUGGUGUAGCGGUGAAAUGCUUAGAUAUCACGAAGAACUCCGAUUGCGAAGGCAGCUCACUGGAGCGCAACUGACGCUGAAGCUCGAAAGUGCGGGUAUCGAACAGGAUUAGAUACCCUGGUAGUCCGCACGGUAAACGAUGGAUGCCCGCUGUUGGUCUGAAUAGGUCAGCGGCCAAGCGAAAGCAUUAAGCAUCCCACCUGGGGAGUACGCCGGCAACGGUGAAACUCAAAGGAAUUGACGGGGGCCCGCACAAGCGGUGGAGUAUGUGGUUUAAUUCGAAGCAACGCGAAGAACCUUACCAGGCCUUGACAUCCCUUGCAGAGGUAUAGAGAUAUAUCCGAGGUUAUCAAGGAGACAGGUGGUGCAUGGUUGUCGUCAGCUCGUGCCGUGAGGUGUCGGCUUAAGUGCCAUAACGAGCGCAACCCCUCUCCUUAGUUGCCAUCAGGUCAAGCUGGGCACUCUGGGGACACUGCCACCGUAAGGUGUGAGGAAGGUGGGGAUGACGUCAAAUCAGCACGGCCCUUACGUCCGGGGCUACACACGUGUUACAAUGGCAGGUACAGAGAGACGGUCCCUUGCAAAACGGAUCAAAUCCUUAAAGCCUGUCUCAGUUCGGACUGGGGUCUGCAACCCGACCCCACGAAGCUGGAUUCGCUAGUAAUCGCGCAUCAGCCAUGGCGCGGUGAAUACGUUCCCGGGCCUUGUACACACCGCCCGUCAAGCCAUGAAAGCCGGGGGCGCCUAAAGUCCGUGACCGUAAGGAGCGGCCUAGGGCGAAACUGGUAAUUGGGGCU